GACCCAUGAUGCUUGAAACUUCAUUAUAAACCCAAGGAAAAAUAAUUAUUAAUUAUUAAUAAUAGUCAAUUGUCCGUCCUGUGAUUGCAAUGUGCAACUCGCACAGCGAAGACUAUAAAUACACAGACGACGGCAUAUAAUAGAGAAGAGAGAGAGGAGAGAGAGAGAGAAGAUUUACAUUUCCUCGGCCAUCUGCUUCCUCCAUCCCUCCGAUCCCAGAGAAUUCGUUCUCUCUAAUUUAUAUAUCGAUCUCUCUCGUUAUCAUUUUACCUAGCUUUUAAAUUAUAUACUUUGUAUAAAUAAUAAUAUUUAUAAAGAGAAAGAAAGAGGGAGAGUUUGAACGGAAAUGGGGGUGAUAUCAAGAGGAGUGAUGCCUAUGUGCGGGACUUUGUGCAUCUUUUGCCCUUCCUUGAGUACCAGAUCCAGGCAUCCCGUCAAGCGUUACAAGAAAUUUCUCGCCGAUAUUUUUCCUCGAUCUCCGGAUGAACAACCCAAUGAACGAAUGAUCAGUAAACUAUGUGAAUAUGCUUCCAAGAAUCCUCUUCGUAUUCCAAAGAUAACAAGUUCAUUGGAGCAGAAAUUUUACGGGGAUUUGCGAAGUGAGCAAUUUCACUCUGUAAAAGUUACUGUGUAUGUCUACAGGAAGUUGAUGGUUUCUUGUAAAGAGCAAAUGCCAUUGUUUGCCAGUAGCUUUCUCAGCAUUAUACAGAUCCUGCUAGAUCAAACAAGAAUGGACGAUAUGCGGGUAUUGGGAUGCCAAGCUCUUUUUGUUUUUGUGAAUAAUCAGAGGGAUGGCACUUAUAUGUUCAACUUAGAUGGAUUGAUUCCAAAACUUUGUCUUUUAGCUCAAGAAAUGGGAGAGGACAAGAGGGUACAACAUUUGCGUUCUGCUGGUCUUCAAACCCUUUCAUCAGUGGUUUGGUUCAUGGGAGAGUUCUCUCACGUCUCAGCUGAGUUUGAUAAUGUUGUUUCAGUGGUCUUGGAAAAUUACAGAGGUUUAAAAAAAUCAGAUGCUGUUAUUCAUGACAAUCAAGAUACACAGAAUGACUGUGUUAAAGACAAUUUAUCUUCCCCAGAUGCCAUGGCAACAUACUCUUGGAGGAGUAUUGUGAGUGAAAUUGGAGAAAUUCUUGUCCCUGUGAAGGAAGCUGAGAAUCCCCAAUUUUGGUCAAGAGUUUGCCUGCAUAACAUGGCCAAGUUAGCCAAGGAAGUUACAACUGUCCGACGUGUCUUAGAAUCUUUGUUUCGGUUUUUUGAUAAUGAGGACCUGUGGUCUACCCAGCAUGGUGUAGCUCUUUCUGUCUUGCAGGACAUGCAGUUAAUAAUAGAGAAAUGUGGGGAAAACACACACCUUUUGUUGUCCAUCUUAGUAAAGCAUCUCGACCACAAGAAUGUUCUGAAGAAGCCCUGUAUGCAGUUAGAUAUUGUGGAUGUUGUCACUUCCCUUGCUCAACAAACAAAGGUUCAGCCAUCUGUGGCUAUAAUUGGUGCAUUAACUGAUAUGACAAGACACCUACGGAAAAGCAUACACUGUUCACUUGAUGAUUCCAGUCUGGGAGCUGAGGUGAUUCAAUACAACCAAAAAUUUCGAGCAGCUGUAGAUGAGUGCCUUGUUCAGUUAUCACAUAAGGUUGGGGAUGCAGGUCCUGUCCUUGAUAUGAUGGCCGUUAUGUUGGAGAACAUGCCAAACAUUACUGUUAUGGCCAGAACCUUGAUUUCUGCAGUUUAUCGUACGGCUCAAAUUAUGGCAUCAAUUCCAAAUUUGUCAUACCAAAACAAGGCUUUUCCUGAGUCAUUGUUUCAUCAAUUACUUCUAGCAAUGGUCUGUGCAGACCAUGAAACAAGGGUUGGUACUCACCGCAUAUUUUCUGUUGUUCUGGUUCCAUCAUCUGUCUGCCCUUGUCCUCCUGCUGCAACUCAUUUAUCAAAGAAGGCCACUAAUCUGCAAAAGACACUCUCAAGAACUGUAUCUGUGUUUUCUUCUUCUGCUGCACUCUUUCAGAAGUUGGGUAGGGAAGAUAAAGAAAAAGUUGUAGACAAUAAGGUUGGAAACAUCAAUGGUGUUUCUAUGCAAGACAGGUUGAAUUGUGCUAAAGGGCAACCACCAAUUGUAAACACAAAUGAAACUGUUGGUAGUGACAGUGCAAAGAUCCAAAACCAGACUAUUCUGAACAGGUUGAAGUCAAGUUACAGCCGAGCUUAUAGUGUAAAGAUGAAUCCAUCAGCUGCAAUAGAAGAUGAAAAAUCAAUGAGUAAUUCAGUUGGAGUUCCAGCUUUACCUCUUCGAUUAAGCAGUCAUCAGAUAACUCUUAUGCUUUCAUCUAUUUGGGUGCAAUCCAUCUCUCCUUUAAAUAUGCCUGAAAAUUUUGAAGCAAUUGCUCAUACCUACAGCCUGGUGUUGCUAUUUGCACGAACCAAGAACUCCUAUAAUGAGGCUAUGGUUCGAAGCUUUCAAUUGGGCUUUUCCUUAAGAAGCAUAUCUCUGGGAGGUGGAGGAGGGCCACUGCAGCCAUCACACCGGAGGUCCCUCUUUAUCCUUGCUACUUCUAUGAUCAUCUUCUCAUCAAAAGCCUACAACAUCCCCCCACUUUUCUCUUGUGCUAAAGCUUCCCUUACAGAAAAAACAGUUGAUCCGUUUCUGCAGUUGGUCAAUGAUUGCAAGUUACAGAUUGCUAAAACUGAAAUAGAGCAUCCAGGAAAAGUAUACGGAUCAAAAGAAGAUGAUGAAGAUGCUUUGAAGUCACUUUCUGAAAUAAAAAUAGCAGAGAACCAAUCUAAUGAAUCAUUUGCAACCAUGAUAGUGAAGUUUCUUGGCAAUUUGUCUGAUCAAGAAUCAUCCAAAAUAAGAAACCAGUUGCUUAGUGAUUUCAUCCCUAAUGAUGGAUGUCCACGUGGAACUCAUCUGUUCAUGGAUUCACCUGCCCAAACAUAUGAAUCUGGAUCAAUAGAUGAUCAAUCUCCUGAAAAGGUUGAGCCUCCAUUAUUCACAGUAGAUGAUGAUGCUUUGCCUAGUACAUUUGAAGGUGAAAAAAGUCUUGUUACACGUUUGGCACUUGAGCCUCAAAAUCUCCUGAGUGUUGAUGAACUUCUUGAUGCACUUUCAGAGACAACACAUCAAGUUGGAAGACCCUCGGUCUCAACCACCCCUAACAUGCCUUAUAGCGAAAUGGCCGGCCACUGUGAGGCCCUUCUGGUGGGAAAGCAGCAGAAGAUGUCUGUUCUAAUGAGUGCUCAACAAAAUCGAGAAAGUUUGGUGAGCAUUUUUGCAAAGGAGGUGCAGCCUCAUUCUCAUGUUGAAUCAGGUUCCUUGAAGAGUAAAAAUCCAUUUAUUGAUCAAGACGUUGGUGCUGUUUCUAUAAAUCAAUAUGUUGUCACUACUCCAAUGCUUUGUGCAACUGAGUACAAACAUCAGCCCUGCUUUCAGCUUCCUGCAUCAAGUCCAUAUGACAAUUUUCUGAAGGCUGCUGGUUGUUGACACCUAGAGAAGGAAUUGAAACUUAGGGGGCUCGAGUUAUCAUUGCACCUUUCUGCUUUCAAUCUUUGCCCUGGGACCAGCUAAUUUUGUGUUUUUGAUGCCAACCAGGUUGAUAUUUGAUGCCUUCAUCUUUAUCUCUUUUUCUCUUAUAUUCCUUAAAUUGUUGACUCCAGCCGGAUGCAUUGCAGGGUUGACUUUAAGUGUUCCUUCAUGUGCAUGGUACUUUUAUUUCUCUUUCAUUUUGUCAAGGUUCAUUCACGCUUGCAGUUGUAGAGUUACUUCCCCCUCUUCCUUCUGGCAGACCCAGGUUUUGUAAAGAUUAUUAGUCAUCUGUAAAUGUUCAAUGCAGAAAAACUUUAAAAUAAUAAUAAUAUAAUAAUUUCUUCUGUUAAUGAGAAAAUAGCAUGUUGGGUUAUUUUAAAUUUUCAUGUACAGGGUCUGUUUGUACUAAGGUGAAGGCAAUAGCCAAUAAGUCCAAGCGGCUGUUCACUGUUAGCGUUUAGGCAGUUUUUAUACAAUCCCCCAAAUUUGAUAGAAGGGUCUAAUCAAGGGAUUUGUUGUAUUUUAUACAACUAGGAUAAAGGAAACUUUACAUCAAAAUUUAUGCCCUGCAAAGUACUAUCAAUGGAUGGAGAACUGUCAAUUUUUUGUAAAUUCCUUGCACGCCAUAUUUGAAAUCCACCUGUCAAGAGGGAAAGCAGUGAAAGUUUUUCCCCUGGAAUGGUCUAUAGCCCAGCUAAGCUCUCCUGCCAUCUUCGAAUUCUGUUGUCAAAGCCUCACUUUGCCAAAGCCAAUCUCCGAACGCUAUUUGAAUAAUCACAAGAGAAGAAAGCAUUCAAUAUUCCAAAUUUUAGAUACACACACACACACAAUCAUAUGUUGUCAUACAACACUGACAAACUUCAGGCGCUACGAAGAAGCCAUUGGACCCUGCUCCAUUGUAUUAUCAGAGGAUGAAAAUAAUGUGAAAGCUAUGUUCAGACGUGGAAAGACCAGAGCAGAACUCGGGCAAACAGAUGCUGCACGUGAUGACUAUCUAAA